rnacentral:rRNA from 1 species
GACGAACGCUGGCGGCGUGCUUAACACAUGCAAGUCGUACGGUAAGGCCCUUUCGGGGGUACACGAGUGGCGAACGGGUGAGUAACACGUGCGUAACCUGCCCACAACUUUGGGAUAACGCUAGGAAACUGGUGCUAAUACUGGAUAUGUGCUCCUGCUGCAUGGUGGGGGUUGGAAAGCUCCGGCGGUUGUGGAUGGAGUUGAGGCCUAUCAGCUUGUUGGUGGGGUAGUGGCCUACCAAGGCGGCGACGGGUAGCCGGCCUGAGAGGGUGACCGGCCACAUUGAGACUGAGAGACGGCCCAGACUCCUACGGGUGGCAGCAGUGGGGAAUAUUGAACAAGGAGCGCAAGCCUGAUGCAGAAACGCCGCGUGCGGGAUGACGGCCUUCGGGUUGUAAACCGCUUUCAGCAGGGACUAAGCUUUUCGUGACGGUACCUGCAGAAGAAGCACCGGCUAACUACGUG